rnacentral:rRNA from 1 species
CUGCCAGUACGAUCGCACGGGCUAGUAUCGCACUAGCCUUCGCGCGACGGGUCCCCCGCGAGUCCGCCCUAUCAACUGUCGACGGCCCGGUCAGUGCCGACCGUGGUGGCAACGGGUAACGGGGAAUCAGGGUUCGAUUCCGGAGAGGGAGCAUGCGAAACGGCUACCACAUCCAAGGAAGGCAGCAGGCGCGCAAAUUACCCACUCCCGGCACGGGGAGGUAGUGACGAAAAAUAACGACGCGGGACUCUGUCGAGGCCCCGCGAUCGGAAUGAGUACACUUCAAAUCCGUUAACGAGGAUCGACCGGAGGGCAAGUCUGGUGCCAGCAGCCGCGGUAAUUCCAGCUCCGGUAGCGUAUAUUAAAAUUGUUG